AUAUUUACUUGGCAGGGGAGAUACCAUGAUCAUGAAGGUGGUUCUCCCAGGGCGAGGCUUAUCCAUUGCACUCCGGGUGUGCUGACCCCUGGGAUUUUCCCAAAUGUGGGAAACUCGACUUCGUAAUUUGUGGUAGUGGGACUGCGUUCGCGCUUUCCCCU
rnacentral:snRNA from 1 species